CAGCAGCCACGGUAAUACGGAGGGAGCUAGCGUUGUUCGGAAUUACUGGGCGUAAAGCGCGCGUAGGCGGUUACUCAAGUCAGAGGUGAAAGCCCGGGGCUCAACUCCAGAACUGCCUUUGAUACUGGCCAUCUCGAGUCCGGAAGAGGUAAGUGGAACUGCGAGUGUAGAGGUGAAAUUCGUAGAUAUUCGCAAGAACACCAGUGGCGAAGGCGGCUUACUGGUCCGGUACUGACGCUGAGGUGCGAAAGCGUGGGGAGCAAACAGGAUUAGAUACCCGAGUAGUCCCUGUCUCUUAUAC
rnacentral:rRNA from 1 species